GAAUUUAAACACACCUACAGAAAAAGUGAAAACCAAACGUCUGUUUCCAACGUCUUUUCUAAACUAUGGGGACGUUCUACUGCGCAUGUCUGAUAGACAAAGCAACCUGUAUGGCAUUAACCUGUGACAUUUAGGCUAUGACUGUGUGGGAGACCUGACUCAAGUUCUGACGACCUGAUCUCAACAUCCUGCUGUGGAAGUUAUCCAAGGGUCACUCCUCGACACCCAGAAGCUGUUGGAUGAGAGGCUAUGACUGUGUGGGAGACCUGACUCAAGUUCUGACGACCUGAUCUGAACAUCCUGCUGUGGAAGUUAUCCAAGGGUCACUCCUCGACACCCAGAAGCUGUUGGAUGAGAACAAUGAAGCACACCACGCCAUUUCCCACCAUGCACACCAGGAAGAUAAGCAGGUAGGACACGAUGAAGAUGGCUGCUGUGGACGGCUGAUGAAGAUCCACUCUCCCCUCCUCUGCUGCCGAAACACUCAUCCACACCUUCAUGACCUCCAGACUGGACUACUGCAACCGCAUCCGCUACAGCCUUCCUUCAACUGACCUCCAAAAACUGCAAUAUAUCCAGAACUCAGCUGCCCGGGUACUCACACUCCAGCUACAGAGCUCACAUCACACCCAUCAUUCAGAACCUUCACUGGCUAUCCAUGCAGCACCGAAUCCACCUCAAGAUCCUGCUCAUCACCUACAAAACCCUCAAUAACCUUGCGUGCCCCACCACCUAUUUUUAUUUAAACCUUAAUUUAAUUUUUAUUCUAUAUGUUUUAAUAGGAUCCUCUAAUCUCUAACCAUUUUUCAAGAAGUUGUCUACUUGAGCCUUAUAUGCAAACCUCAAAAACGUCCACCCCUCCUCUCCCUAUUGAUGGUUUGCAUAUAAGGCGCUGCAUGUGAUGGUUUCUGACAGACCCACAGACACCAGGCGACAGGUAGAUCUGUGACACCGGUAGCUGAAAUGUUCAUUAGACAAAUUGUUAUGAGUUCAUUAAACUUCUGCACUGUUUAAAGAUUUGAGGCUAUAUGACGCAGCCUCAUGGCUUCUAUUUAUGUGCAGAGUGUCAAUCAGUCACCGUA